rnacentral:rRNA from 1 species
GUACACGCUGUGACUAGCAUAUCAAUAAGCGGAGGAAAAGAAACUAACAAGGAUUCCCCUAGUAACGGCGAGUGAAGCGGGAAGAGCUCAAAUUUGAAAUCUUAAAGGGUUUCCCUUUACGAAUUGUAGUUUAAAGAAGUGUUUUCUGUUGAGGUAUUUGGUAAAAGUUCUUUGGAAUAGGACAUCAUAGAGGGUGAGAAUCCCGUAUUUGACCUUUACUUUCAACUUUGUGAUACACUUUCAAAGAGUCGGAUUGUUUGGGAAUGCAGUCCAAAAUGGGUGGUAAAUUUCAUCUAAAGCUAAAUAUUGGCGAGAGACCGAUAGCGAACAAGUACCGUGAGGGAAAGAUGAAAAGAACUUUGAAAAGAGAGUUAAACAGUACGUGAAAUUGUCAAAAGGGAAGCGUUUGACACCAGUGUUGUUUUUCUGAAAACUCAAUUAAAGAACUGUUUAUGCUAAGCUGUUUAGACUUUAUCAGCUAUCUGUUUAGUUUUGAGCUUUUCUUUAAUGCACUUUUCAGUUAACAAGUCAACAUCAAUUUCUUUUGCUGUAAAAAAGCUUGAGGAAGGUGGCUUGAGAUUCGUCUUAAGUGUUUAUAGCCUCUUGCCUAUGCAGUCGGAGAGAUUGAGGUCUGCAGCGUAGAUCCUUCGGGGCUAAAUGCAUUUGUGCUAAGUUAUAGCAUUUCAUAGACAACUUGUUGACUAUGAUUUGUCUUGUAGCUUACUCGCUUAUGUUAUUUUACCUACGCUUAGGAUGUUGACUGAUAUGUAGUCGUA